rnacentral:lncRNA from 1 species
AUGCUGCCCAAAAAAGUUUGCGGAGGCCCAAAAGGAAAGUGGCCGGCUCCAAAGGCACCCAAGCGUCCUGCACCUAAGGAGACUGACCGGUACAGUUCCGACUCUGACACAGAGGAGAAGAUGGCUGAGCAGGACUUUAUCUUAGCCAAGAUUGAAGAAUUUGAGAAGAGACAUGUGUCUCCUCGGUUCACUGGUAACAAAACAAGGGUAGAGGGAAAAGAAAGUUUUAAUAAGUCCAUAUUGUCCCGUUUAGCUGCAGUGGAAGAGUGCAUGGAUGCGGAGGAUGUGGCCAGCCCUAACAUUACACAAGCUGAUGAUGUCCAUCCUGAAGCGGUGGUCGCUAGGGUGCCUGCUAGCGUAGAUGAGUCAGCAACUCUUGAUAUUUUUGGUAGUAGGUCAGCUUUGCCUUGGGUUUGGGCAUCCAUAGGGCAACAGGCCUCUCAUGCGAGCAGAGGGAGUGGUUCAGAUAACACAGUGCCUUUAGCUGGCCAUAUUCCCCAUACUAGCCACUCCAUUGCUCCUUACGGAGUUAACUUGUGGCAUCACUUGAAUGAAGCAGCCAACAGCGCAGGCCAGUUUACUUAUUCUCCCUUGGGACAGGUUGGGGAUGCCCUUGCGGGCAGUAAUGCGCUACAUUUGAACGUGGCAUCCGCCAAUGCAAACCAGUUUCUUUACCCUUCCUUACCAACUACGGGGGGUUGGAUGGAGCCAGACCCACAUACCUCUUGGCCCUUUACCACAGCUAUGCAGCCGGCAGAUAAUUUGGCUGGCCAAAUUCAUGCUCUGCCAUAUGCAUCAGGGGACCUUGAUUUGAUGCUAGGUGACCAUUUGACAGCAAGAACUAUUGAGAAAAUACUAAAAGGCGAAUACAUUGAUGUUUUUUCCCUCCUAUUCAGAGAGGUUGAGAAAAAGGAUUGGGAGGUUAUGGAUGACAAGGAAAGAGGCAAAGUCAAAAAGAGGAAGGUGGACCGUAACUGGCGAAACUGGCAUUCAGGUUUCCUCAUAGAAUCAUAG